rnacentral:rRNA from 1 species
CUACGGGUUGCUCCAGUCGAGAAUAGUCUACAAUGGACGAAAGUCUGAUAGUGCAACGCCGCGUGGGUGAAGAAGCAUUUCGGUGUGUAAAACCCUUUUCUCUGUGAGCAAUGUUGUUAUGAUUAAGAGUUAUAGCAAAGCGAUAUUAGCAGAGGAAUAAGCCACGGCUAACUCCGUGCCAGCAGCCGCGGUAAUACGGGGGUGGCAAGCGUUGUCCGGAAUCACUAGGCGUAAAGGGCAAGUAGGCGGAAUAUACAGUCAGGUGCUAAAGGCAUUGGCUCAACCAGUGUACGGCAUUUGAUACUUGUAUUCUAGAAUUUGACAUGGGAAGACAGAAUUCCUGGUGUAGCGGUGGAAUGCGCAGAUAUCAGGAGGAAUACCGGAGGCGAAGGCGGUCUUCUGGGUCAAAAUUGACGCUGAACUGCGAAGGUGUGGGUAUCAAACAGGAUUAGAUACCCCAGUAGUC